UGGUGGAGUGAUUUGUCUGGUUAAUUCCGUUAACGAACGAGACCCCUGCCUGCUAAAUAGUCCAAUGAGUAUUUUUUUUACUU
rnacentral:rRNA from 1 species